rnacentral:tRNA from 1 species
GGGACUGUGGCUCAGUGGACAAGCAUCUGUUUGGCAUGCUAAAGGUCCCAGGUUCAAUCCCCAGCAGCUCCA